rnacentral:lncRNA from 1 species
CACAUAACACUAUGUCAACAGUGACGUUGUGCUGUUCAAGGCUGUCACCCUCUCUAAAUAAAUAAAUACUCCUUUGCCCCUGGUGCUACAUUAGCGCUUCAUGAUCACAGACACUUUGCCUCGAACUUCGACUAUAAGUGUUUCAAUCUCUGUUUUGUACUUUACAGGUUGCUCCCACUCCCGCUGCUGUUACUUAAAAUAGUUUUCCGUGAGACUUCUCUGGAAACACAUACCUUGUUUGUGACAAUUUCAGAGUGACUCCUUUUAACUCAUCCUUGGUGAAGGAUCAGAGGAAACUUUCCAAACUCCCAUAUGCCAUGCUCAAACUCUGCUCCCGAGCUACCCUGGUCAAGUUCGUGAACUAUUACCAGCAUCAGCUAGAUAACAUAAGGCUGCAUUCAUCACAAUGGCAUAUAACUGUUGGCUAUAUAGGAACUAGUUUCAUCUUUUGAAGUCGGUCUACUAAGAAUAUUUGCUUUUUACCAUCACUUUCUUGGAAAGUUCCUCAAGGAUCUGUUCCAGCCAAACAAGAGAGUAAAGCAGAGAACAAGUGCCAAACACCUGCUGUCACGUGAUCACAAAGGAUCCCUGUGAUGGUUUGUAUAUUGCACCACGGAAUGGCACCAUUUGGAGGUGUGGCCUUGUUGGAAUAGGUGUGACCUGGUUGGAGUAGGUGUGUCACUGUGGGCUUAAUACCCUCACCCUAGUUGCCUGGAAGUCAGUCUUCCACUAGCAGCCUUUGGAUGAAGAUGUAGAACUCUCAGCUCUGCCUGUGCCAUGCCUGCCUGGAUGCUGCCAUGCUCCCACUUUGAUGAACUCUGAACCUGUAAG